rnacentral:lncRNA from 1 species
AAAAAAAAAUCAACUAUGCACAACCCUAAUUAAGUUUGCAGAUUGAUGUUUAUUCAACCCUAUAUUUACUUAAUUUUUUUAUUGGAUUUUAAUUUAUAGUAAUAUGAACUAUACAUUCAAUUAUAAAUUCCGGUAAUAUGUGCAGAUGGACGGAUACCGCAUAGAGAUGAGUAUUCACCAAGUUUGAGUUUUUAUCUUUUAAUCAAGCUUGGAGGAAGUGUAAUGCUAUCUCUCAUGUUUUAGCUAAAUUGGGCCUAAGUUUUUUUUCCAAGACCAAGUUUGAAUUGAAGAGUAUCUUCCAGUGUUUGACCCCUAUGUAAUUGAGGAGUAUCAUCAUGUUUCUUUCCCUAUUCAAUGAUAAUUUUCGAGGAAUUUAAAAAACAAAAUUAUAAUAUUUAAAUAUUAAAUAACACAUGAUAUAGAGGUUACCCAAUGGUAAGAGAAUGUUUUAACCUUCUCCUUCACUUUUUGAAAUCUAUAGAGAAGAAGAAAGCUUGUGAUGGAGAGAUGAGUCAAUCUUAUUCAUCAUAAAUAGAGGUUAUUUCGAGUAUUCUAUCUUUGCAUCUUUGAAAAAAGUGUGCUAUUUGCAUAGUCAACUGUGCUUUUAAUAAGGUUAAUAGACGGUUUUCAAACUUUAGAGAGAUUUAUUCUAAAAGUAUUUUUAAUGAUUAAUGGAUUGUUUUGAUUCAUUCAUUAUUGUCUAAUUCAUUCAUUUUG